rnacentral:rRNA from 1 species
AUGGAUGGACCCGCGGUGCAUUAGCUAGUUGGUGAGGUAACGGCUCACCAAGGCCACAAUGCAUAACCGACCUGAGAGGGUGAUCGGCCACACUGGGACUGAGACACGGCCCAGACUCCUACGGGAGGCAGCAGUAGGGAUUUUGCAAUGACGAAAUCUGACGAGCAAGCCGCUGAUGAAGAAGUUUUCGGUUGUAAAUUUUUUUUAGGAAGAAAAGAUGUUGUAAUGACGUCCCUGACGUAUCUACCAAGAGCCCGGCUAAUUCGUGCAGCAGCCCGGUAAUCGUAGGGGCAAGCUUUCUGGAUUAUUGGCGUAAACAGCGCAGGGGUUUUUAAGUUGAUUGAAAGCCCCGGCUCACCGGGAGGUCAUUGAAACUGGAGACUGAGUCAGAAGAGAGAGUGGAAUUCAUGGGAGCGGUGAAUGCGUGGUAUUGGAGGACACAGUGGGAAGGCGGUCUCUGGUCGAAAUGACGUUAGCUCGAAAGCGUGGGAGCAACAGGUUAGAUACCUGGUAGUCCACGCCGUAACGAUGGUGCUAAGUGUUGAGGGUUUCCGCCUUCAGUGCUGCAGCAACGCAUUAAGCACUCCGCCUGGGAGUACGACCGCAAGGUUAAACUCAAAGGAAUUGACGGGGCCCGCACAAGCGGUGGAGCAUGUGGUUAAUUCGAAGCAACGCGAAGAACCUUACCAGGUCUUGACAUCCUUUGACCACUCUAGAGAUAGAGCUUUCCUUCGGGGACAAAGUGACAGGUGGUGCAUGGUUGUCGUCAGCUCGUGUCGUGAGAUGUUGGGUUAAGUCCCGCAACGAGCGCAACCCUUACUGUUAGUUGCCAUCAUUUAGUUGGGCACUCUAGCGAGACUGCCGGUGACAAACCGGAGGAAGGUGGGGAUGACGUCAAAUCAUCAUGCCCCUUAUGACCUGGGCUACACACGUGCUACAAUGGGAAGUACAACGAGUCGCUAGACCGCGAGGUCCUGCAAAUCUCCUAAAGCUUCUCUCAGUUCGGAUUGCAGGUUGCAACUUGCAUGCAUGAAGCUGGAAUCGGUAGUAAUCGCGGAUCAGCACGCCGCGGUGAAUACGUUCCCGGGCCUUGUACACACCGCCCGUCACACCACGAGAGUUUGUAACACCAGAAGUCGGUGAGGUAACCUUUGGAGCCAGCUGCCAAGUGGAUAGAUGAUGGGAGUCGUACAGC